rnacentral:rRNA from 1 species
CGCUGGCGGCGUGCCUAAUACAUGCAAGUCGAACGCUUCUUUUUCCACCGGAGCUUGCUCCACCGGAAAAAGAGGAGUGGCGAACGGGUGAGUAACACGUGGGUAACCUGCCCAUCAGAAGGGGAUAACACUUGGAAACAGGUGCUAAUACCGUAUAACAAUCGAAACCGCAUGGUUUUGAUUUGAAAGGCGCUUUCGGGUGUCGCUGAUGGAUGGACCCGCGGUGCAUUAGCUAGUUGGUGAGGUAACGGCUCACCAAGGCCACGAUGCAUAGCCGACCUGAGAGGGUGAUCGGCCACAUUGGGACUGAGACACGGCCCAAACUCCUACGGGAGGCAGCAGUAGGGAAUCUUCGGCAAUGGACGAAAGUCUGACCGAGCAACGCCGCGUGAGUGAAGAAGGUUUUCGGAUCGUAAAACUCUGUUGUUAGAGAAGAACAAGGAUGAGAGUAACUGUUCAUCCCUUGACGGUAUCUAACCAGAAAGCCACGGCUAACUACGUGCCAGCAGCCGCGGUAAUACGUAGGUGGCAAGCGUUGUCCGGAUUUAUUGGGCGUAAAGCGAGCGCAGGCGGUUUCUUAAGUCUGAUGUGAAAGCCCCCGGCUCAACCGGGGAGGGUCAUUGGAAACUGGGAGACUUGAGUGCAGAAGAGGAGAGUGGAAUUCCAUGUGUAGCGGUGAAAUGCGUAGAUAUAUGGAGGAACACCAGUGGCGAAGGCGGCUCUCUGGUCUGUAACUGACGCUGAGGCUCGAAAGCGUGGGGAGCAAACAGGAUUAGAUACCCUGGUAGUCCACGCCGUAAACGAUGAGUGCUAAGUGUUGGAGGGUUUCCGCCCUUCAGUGCUGCAGCUAACGCAUUAAGCACUCCGCCUGGGGAGUACGACCGCAAGGUUGAAACUCAAAGGAAUUGACGGGGGCCCGCACAAGCGGUGGAGCAUGUGGUUUAAUUCGAAGCAACGCGAAGAACCUUACCAGGUCUUGACAUCCUUUGACCACUCUAGAGAUAGAGCUUCCCCUUCGGGGGCAAAGUGACAGGUGGUGCAUGGUUGUCGUCAGCUCGUGUCGUGAGAUGUUGGGUUAAGUCCCGCAACGAGCGCAACCCUUAUUGUUAGUUGCCAUCAUUCAGUUGGGCACUCUAGCAAGACUGCCGGUGACAAACCGGAGGAAGGUGGGGAUGACGUCAAAUCAUCAUGCCCCUUAUGACCUGGGCUACACACGUGCUACAAUGGGAAGUACAACGAGUCGCGAAGUCGCGAGGCUAAGCUAAUCUCUUAAAGCUUCUCUCAGUUCGGAUUGCAGGCUGCAACUCGCCUGCAUGAAGCCGGAAUCGCUAGUAAUCGCGGAUCAGCACGCCGCGGUGAAUACGUUCCCGGGCCUUGUACACACCGCCCGUCACACCACGAGAGUUUGUAACACCCGAAGUCAGUGAGGUAACCUUUUGGAGCCAGCCGCCUAAGGUGGGAUAGAU